GUGGGGAAUAUUGGACAAUGGGCGAAAGCCUGAUCCAGCAAUGCCGCGUGAGUGAUGAAGGCCCUAGGGUUGUAAAGCUCUUUUACCCGGGAUGAUAAUGACAGUACCGGGAGAAUAAGCUCCGGCUAACUUCGUGCCAGCAGCCGCGGUAAUAAGAGGGGAGCUAGCGUUGUUCGGAAUUACUGGGCGUAAAGCGCGCGUAGGCGGUUUUUUAAGUCAGAGGUGAAAGCCCGGGGCUCAACCCCGGAAUAGCCUUUGAAACUGGAAAACUAGAAUCUUGGAGAGGUCAGUGGAAUUCCGAGUGUAGAGGUGAAAUUCGUAGAUAUUCGGAAGAACACCAGUGGCGAAGGCGACUGACUGGACAAGUAUUGACGCUGAGGUGCGAAAGCGUGGGGAGCAAACAGGAUUAGAUACCCUAGUAGUCC
rnacentral:rRNA from 1 species